rnacentral:tRNA from 1 species
GCCCGGGUGGUGAAAUUGGUAGACGCAGGGGACUCAAAAUCCCCCGCCGCGAGGCGUGCCGGUUCGAUUCCGGCCCCGGGCA